CUUACAAGUAAUGAAGGAAAGCAUGGCAAAAAUCCAGUUACCAGUCCUGCUCCUUCACUUCAGCUUCUCACCCUGGUCUGUACACUGGGCUGGGACAGGGACAAAUUCUGACCUGAUUCUGGCAUUCUUCAGCUGACAAGGUGUCAGCUCCAAAAGCUAGCUCUUGAUCUCCCAUUCAAGGUUUUUAUGGAUGAGUGUAAAGCUGAAGCAAGCUGCUCUGUGCAGUGGUUAAGGUUUUAAUAGCUCUUAAGUAAUAAAACUAGCAUAACAGCUUCCAAAAAGAGUACCAGGGAAUCAACUCUAAAAGUAAUAAAGGUCUUUACUUUGUUAGAGUGAAUUGCAAAGGGUUUUGUGGCUUGUGGUUGCACUGAGCAGAGGUUCUGGGGACCCUUCGGAUGAAGUUUUUACUGCACAGUUGUGAUUGCAGCCAAAUAGACUUCACAUCUUUGGGAGUCCCCUGCUGAGAAAGGGCAAGCAUGGCUGUGCAUCGUGCUGUUAUGUAGCACAGGGACUUCAGGUUGCUCCUAGGGUUGCAAAGACCCUCCUUUAAGGUGUGAGCAAGUUGAUGGAUAUUACAGGCACAUCUUCAAUGUUUUCUUUUGAAUAUUUUGCUUUUAUCCAGUAUAUAGGCACACUGUGUUCUCCUGGGGGGUGCGGGGAUGUUUGGGAAGAACCCAGCCACUGUUUGUCCAAUCAGCAUCAGCCAGGAGAGAAUGGAGGCUCAAAAAGAUCCCCGACCGUGCUCAGCCUACAGACACAUUAUUGAGAAGAUACAGCAGGUGUGGUUUAGAUGAAAAUCACAGGCCUGUAGGUCCCAGCUUGCCACUGACAUGUGCUCGAUGCUUGGGAGCUGGCAAGGCCACCAAAGGCAGUCUGUGCCUGUCCUUGCUGUGUUCAGCCAUGACAAUGCCCAUGUUGCUGCCUGGUGAUAAUCAAGUGUAGCGCUCCUUGCCCUUGCGCAGGAGGGUCUCAGGCAGAGCACUUGGUGGGGCUCGGAAGUUGAACAUGGAUGGCAUUGACUGGAUCAUCUCAUUGGCCUCUGGCUUCAAGGCACUGAAACUCUCCAGCUUUUCGGCCAUGUUCUCUAUAGCUGACAUCUGCAAUGGAAGAUGGCACAACAGCCGGCAUGGUGAGGACCGCCGUGGCUUUGUGUCUGUGGUGAAAAUGCUAAGCAUAAAGGGCACAGACUUCCAAGGAAACAGACUAAAUAGCAAAUGUAGAGCUGCAGUCACAAAAACUACUGGGCAGAGUAGGCAAUG
rnacentral:lncRNA from 1 species